AGUAUGUAGCCGUGGGCUUUAGCUCUGCAAAGGCUAAUGAGGAUUUUAUCCCAUACUUUA
rnacentral:tRNA from 1 species